GAAAGAGAUCCUGAAACCGUGUGCCUACAAAUAGUCAGAGCCCGUUAAUGGGUGAUGGCGUGCCUUUUGUAGAAUGAACCGGCGAGUUACGAUCCCGUGCGAGGUUAAGCUGAAGAGGCGGAGCCGUAGCGAAAGCGAGUCUGAAUAGGGCGUUUAGUACGUGGUCGUAGACCCGAAACCAGGUGAUCUACCCAUGUCCAGGGUGAAGUUCAGGUAACACUGAAUGGAGGCCCGAACCCACGCACGUUGAAAAGUGCGGGGAUGAGGUGUGGGUAGCGGAGAAAUUCCAAUCGAACCUGGAGAUAGCUGGUUCUCCCCGAAAUAGCUUUAGGGCUAGCCUUAAGUGUAAGAGUCUUGGAGGUAGAGCACUGAUUGAACUAGGGGUCCUCAUCGGAUUACCGAAUUCAGUCAAACUCCGAAUGCCAAUGACUUAUCCUUAGGAGUCAGACUGCGAGUGAUAAGAUCCGUAGUCAAGAGGGAAACAGCCCAGACCGCCAGCUAAGGUCCCAAAGUGUGUAUUAAGUGGAAAAGGAUGUGGAGUUGCUUAGACAACUAGGAUGUUGGCUUAGAAGCAGCCACCAUUUAAAGAGUGCGUAAUAGCUCACUAGUCGAGUGACUCUGCGCCGAAAAUGUACCGGGGCUAAAUACACCACCGAAGCUGCGGAUUGAUACCUAUGGUAUCAGUGGUAGGGGAGCGUUCUAAGGGCAGUGAAGUCAGACCGUAAGGACUGGUGGAGCGCUUAGAAGUGAGAAUGCCGGUAUGAGUAGCGAAAGACGGGUGAGAAUCCCGUCCACCGAAUGCCUAAGGUUUCCUGAGGAAGGCUCGUCCGCUCAGGGUUAGUCAGGACCUAAGCCGAGGCCGACAGGCGUAGGCGAUGGACAACAGGUUGAUAUUCCUGUACCACCUCUUUAUCGUUUGAGCAAUGGAGGGACGCAGAAGGAUAGAAGAAGCGUGCGAUUGGUUGUGCACGUCCAAGCAGUUAGGCUGAUAAGUAGGCAAAUCCGCUUAUCGUGUAUGCUGAGCUGUGAUGGGGAAGCUCCUUAUGGAGCGAAGUCUUUGAUUCCCCGCUGCCAAGAAAAGCUUCUAGCGAGAUAAAAGGUGCCUGUACCGCAAACCGACACAGGUAGGCGAGGAGAGAAUCCUAAGGUGUGCGAGAGAACUCUGGUUAAGGAACUCGGCAAAAUGACCCCGUAACUUCGGGAGAAGGGGUGCUUUCUUAACGGAAAGCCGCAGUGAAUAGGCCCAAGCGACUGUUUAGCAAAAACACAGGUCUCUGCGAAGCCGUAAGGCGAAGUAUAGGGGCUGACACCUGCCCGGUGCUGGAAGGUUAAGGAGAGGGGUUAGCGUAAGCGAAGCUCUGAACUGAAGCCCCAGUAAACGGCGGCCGUAACUAUAACGGUCCUAAGGUAGCGAAAUUCCUUGUCGGGUAAGUUCCGACCCGCACGAAAGGUGUAACGAUUUGGGCACUGUCUCAACCAGAGACUCGGUGAAAUUAUAGUACCUGUGAAGAUGCAGGUUACCCGCGACAGGACGGAAAGACCCCGUGGAGCUUUACUGUAGCCUGAUAUUGAAUUUUGGUACAGUUUGUACAGGAUAGGCGGGAGCCUUUGAA
rnacentral:ncRNA from 1 species